UUAAAUUGAAGAGUUUGAUCAUGGCUCAGAUUGAACGCUGGCGGCAGGCCUAACACAUGCAAGUCGAACGGUAACAGGAAACAGCUUGCUGUUUCGCUGACGAGUGGCGGACGGGUGAGUAAUGUCUGGGAAACUGCCUGAUGGAGGGGGAUAACUACUGGAAACGGUAGCUAAUACCGCAUAACGUCGCAAGACCAAAGAGGGGGACCUUCGGGCCUCUUGCCAUCGGAUGUGCCCAGAUGGGAUUAGCUAGUAGGUGGGGUAACGGCUCACCUAGGCGACGAUCCCUAGCUGGUCUGAGAGGAUGACCAGCCACACUGGAACUGAGACACGGUCCAGACUCCUACGGGA
rnacentral:rRNA from 1 species